rnacentral:rRNA from 1 species
ACAGAGGUCUCAAGCGUUGUUCGGAUUUACUGGGCGUAAAGGGUGCGUAGGAGGCCCGUUGUGUCAGCUGUGAAAUGCCGGGGCUCAACCCCGGCAAUGCAGAUGAAACUGGCGGGCUGGAGGGCCGGAGGGGUCGCUGGAAUUCCCGGUGUAGCGUUGAAAUGCUUAGAUAUCCGGAGGAACACCAAUGGCGAAGGCAAGCUACUGGAAUGCACCUGACUCUGAGGCGCGAAAGCCGGGGGAGCAAACAU